rnacentral:rRNA from 1 species
ACAAAAACAUGUCUUUAAUUUUAUUUUUAAAGUCUGAUCCUGCUCUAUGAGUUUUAAAUGGCAGCGGUAAAGCGUGUUAAAGUAGCAUAAUCAUUAGUCUUUUUAUUGAGGUCUGGAAUGAACGAUUGAAUGACUUAAAUGAUUACUUAAUUUUUUGUAUUCAAAAAAUUCAAAUUAAAGUAAAAAUGCUUUAAUAUUUCAAAGGGACGAGAAGACCCUAAGAUUUUUAAUUCUAAAUUUUUCUAAAAAUUAGAAUUUUAAUUGGGGCAAUUUAAAAAAUAAACUUUUUAUUUUUAUUUCAUAAUUAAUGGACAUAAGAAUGAAUUGUAAAAAUUUCUAAAAAAGAAUAAAAUUACCUUAGGGAUAACAGCGUAAUAAUAAAUAAGAAAAUCAAAUUUGAAUUUAUGAUUACAACCUCGAUGUUGAAUUAGAAUUUUCUAAAAGUGUAGAAACUUUUAGGUUUAGUCUGUUCGACUAUAAAAAUUCUACGUGAUCUGAGUUCAGACCGGA